rnacentral:rRNA from 1 species
GAUGAACGCUGGCGGCGUGCCUAAUACAUGCAAGUCGAGCGAACGGACGAGAAGCUUGCUUCUCUGAUGUUAGCGGCGGACGGGUGAGUAACACGUGGAUAACCUACCUAUAAGACUGGGAUAACUUCGGGAAACCGGAGCUAAUACCGGAUAAUAUUUUGAACCGCAUGGUUCAAAAGUGAAAGACGGUCCUGCUGUCACUUAUAGAUGGAUCCGCGCUGCAUUAGCUAGUUGGUAAGGUAACGGCUUACCAAGGCAACGAUGCAUAGCCGACCUGAGAGGGAGGUCGGCCACACUGGAAGAGAGAAACGGCCCAGACUCCGACGGGAGGCAGCAGUAGGGAAUCUUCCGCGAUGGGCGAAAGCCGGACGGAGCAACGCCGGGUGAGGGAUGAAGGUCUUCGGAUCGGAAAACUCUGUUAUUAGGGAAGAACAUAUGUGUUAGUAACUGUGCACAUCUUGACGGUACCUAAUCAGAAAGCCACGGCUAACUACGUG